CUUUCCCAGAAGUCCGUCUCUGAGUCCAGCCCGGGGGACAGCACCGCCAAGCCUCCGGAAGGCUCUGCAGGUGUGGCCCGGUCCCAGCCUCCAGUGGCCCACGCCGGGCAGGUCUAUGGGGAGCAGCCACCCAAGAAGCUGGAGCCAGCAUCGGAGGGCAAGGCUAACCUGGCCGUGUGGCUGUCCAUGAUUG
rnacentral:sRNA from 1 species